CGGUGGAGUAUGUGGUUUAAUUCGAUGCAACGCGAAGAACCUUACCUGGUCUUGACAUCCCGGAGACCCUUAGGAAACUAGGGGGUGCUUCCAUCUGGAAGAAUCUGGAGACAGGUGCUGCAUGGCUGUCGUCAGCUCGUGUCGUGAGAUGUUGGGUUAAGUCCCGCAACGAGCGCAACCCUUGCCUUUAGUUGCCAGCAGCUCGGCUGGGCACUCUAAAGGGACUGCCGGUGUUAAACCGGAGGAAGGUGGGGAUGACGUCAAGUCCUCAUGGCCUUUAUGACCAGGGCUACACACGUACUACAAUGGCCGAUACAAAGGGCAGCGACACUGCGAGGUGAAGCCAAUCCCAUAAAAUCGGUCUCAGUCCGGAUUGGAGUCUGCAACUCGACUCCAUGAAGUUGGAAUCGCUAGUAAUCGUGGAUCAGCAUGCCACGGUGAAUACGUUCCCGGGCCUU
rnacentral:rRNA from 1 species